UACGUAGGUGGCGAGCGUUGUCCGGAAUUACUGGGCGUAAAGGGCGCGUAGGCGGAUAUUUAAGUCAGAUGUGAAAACUCCGGGCUCAACUUGGAGAUUGCAUUUGAAACUGGGUAUCUUGAGGACAGGAGAGGAAAGCGGAAUUCCUAGUGUAGCGGUGAAAUGCGUAGAUAUUAGGAGGAACACCGGUGGCGAAGGCGGCUCUCUGGAAUCCUGCUGACGCUGAGGCGCGAAAGCCGGGGGAGCAAACAGGAUUAGAUACCCCGGUAGUCCCU
rnacentral:rRNA from 1 species